ACGAAUUGGCUGCCAGCAUCCGGCGGGAAGGGACCUAGGGCUUGCUCCGCUUCGCCUCUGCUGGAAGGAAGGACUUUAUCACAAAGCAGGCGCCUAGGGCUAAGGAAAGCCAGGGUGUCUUGCUUCUUUGAGCCGGACAGCAGGGAGGAGGCCCCUUCUUCUGCAUAUUUGCUUCCUGGGACGCGGCUCCAGAGAGGACCCUUCAAACACGUUGGGUUGGUUCAAAAAGAAUUGGCACCCCAGAGACCUCUGCCAACUGCCAGACUCCGAGAGAGUGAACCACCUGCCUUUCAACCCUCCCGGUCAUCAUGGAAGAACUCAGGAAGGACAGACAGGGCGGGCCAGCCUAAUCCAGUGAGCUCAGAUACUUGUCGAUGUAUCAGUUCACACUGCAAUCACCCGAAGGCUCAACACAGCAAGAUGUAUAAUGAGACACUCAACAUAAUCACCAGAGAACGCAUAUUGGAAGUGGGAUGCCACUAUACCUCUGCCCACCCAUCAGAAAGGCACGACGAAGAUGGCAGAGUGUGCCGGGUUGGUAAACUGUGGAUAUAACCAAUAGAACCACUUUGCCAGACUCUGAGACAGCACCCACCAAAGCUGGAUAUGAAUGCCCUACGAUCUAGUCCUGGACCCGGUCAACAGCGAUCACUUCUUAUAGAUUACAGAGGAAGCCUGAGAACACACCUGCCGUCUUUGGGGGACAUGGGCUUCCUGCGGUGCUCCAGUUGGAGGAAAUACAGUCCACGACCCCAGGCUGCCUGGCAGGCUCUCUGAACUGCCCCAAUAUCCUCUGACCUAGUCAAUCCAUUCCAGCAUGGUUGUUUGAAAAACAGAAUAUAAUGACUUUCCAAGGAACUGAAGGUUCUCCAGUUGGCUGUGUGACAGGGGAUGAAAACAAAACCUCUCUGAGCUUAGAACACCCGUCUGAUAGGACCAGUCUGAUAAUAUAACACACGUGGACUGAACACUAACAGCUCCACCUGGGCCCUGCCCUUGAUGCUGAAGACCCACCAGUGGGCAAAAUGUCCUCACUCUUAGAAAGGUCACCAUGCAGAAAAUGCAUAAAUGUCUGUGUUAGUAAUACACUUAGAACAGCUUUGACCCUGGGGUCUCAGAAGGAGGAGCAUCAAAGCUGAGCCUGAAGGGUAAAUAGAAAUGGCUGGCUGGAUAGACAUUAGCAGUGGUGCUUCAGUGCCCUGCCUGGCACUCAAGAGGCCAUGGGUUCCAUCCCCAGUGCAGCAGAGAACAGCAGUCACCAGCUCUGCGGGUGAGAAGAUGCCCCCUGCGCCCUGGCUGUGACCAAGGCACGGGUGAGGAGGACAGAAGCACAAAGAAGGCUGGAGAGUAACCAGGGAACACGCUGGGUGACACUAUGGUUUGAUGCAGCAGUGGGGCUAGAACUCAGCUCCUCCAGUGUAAUAAACUAGAAACUAUUGCUAUUC
ensembl:antisense 2210019I11Rik RIKEN cDNA 2210019I11 gene